rnacentral:sRNA from 1 species
GCUGAAGCAUCUGUGGGGUUCCCAGGGGGUGGGAGUGUGUCCAGGAAGCAGAUGGAAAUUCAGGCCUGGAUCUCAGGAGUGAUACCUAGGAGUUAUUGACGAUCAGGUUGAGGACAACAAGACCAAGGAAUUGACCGCCUGGAUUUGAGGACUUGGAGGCCAGCCAUUAGGAGCCUUGCAGGGCUACAGCCAGGAAGCUUGACUACGAAGGAGGAAAGAGAGUGGUAGCUGGGCCAGUACUGAGGUGGAAGGAGAGAUGGUUUGUUGUUUUCUUAGAAAUCUGACAUACUCACACAUUUGUGUGCUGAUGAGGACAAGUGUCCCUUGAAGAGGGAAGAGGGCCCGAGGGACAUGGAUGCAAAGGUCAGAAGGGCCAAGAUGGCCAGGGUCUUGCGGCUUGAGCCCCAGACCUCAGCCUGCCUGCUCUCUCUGCUGCGCCCUGCCCUCCAGGAGCCUGGCCCUGCCUUUGGGACAGAGUCUGCCCACUUCCUGCGGGCGCACUCCCGCUGCGGCCCUGGCCUCCCACCACCCCGUGUACCUAGUCCCCAGCCAAUCCCACCAGGUCCCGAAGCUAAGGAGCCAGGCCUGGGGGUGGACUUCAUUCGUCACAAUGCACGAGCUGCCAAGAGAGCCCCCCGGAGGCAUUCCCGCUCACUGCAGGUCCUGGCACAAGUGCUAGAGCAGCAGCGGCAGGCCCAGGAGCACUACAAUGCCACGCAGAAGGGCCAUGUGCCGCAUUACUUGUUGGAGCGCAGGAACCUGUGGCGGCGGGAGGCCGAGGCCCGCAAGCAGAGCCAGCCAGACCCUGCCAUGCCCCCGGGCCACACGCGCAUGCCUGAGAACCAGCGGCUGGAAACACUGACCAAGCUGCUCCAGAGCCAGAGCCAGCUGCUGCGUGAGCUGGUACUGCUGCCUGCUGGGGCAGACUCACUGAGAGCCCAGAGCCACCGUGCUGAGCUGGACCGGAAGCUGGUGCAAGUAGAGGAGGCCAUCAAGAUCUUUUCUCGGCCCAAAGUCUUCGUGAAGAUGGACGCCUGAGCCCCUCUGGGGGACAGUGGCAAGGAGGUCCAUGCUGAGGAUCACCACAUGGCUGCAAAGGACAGGGUUGGACCCAAUCCCAGAGCAGAGGUCUGAAGAUAGGAGCAGGGGGGUGGCCAGUGUCCCUAGAGCACUCUUCCCAGCUACCAGUGGCUGCAGAAGGGCCACCCCAGCCUUUUAACCGCUUUGUCACAAUUAAACAUUUUGUACACAAG